UACAGAGGGUGCGAGCGUUGUUCGGAAUUACUGGGCGUAAAGCGCGCGCAGGCGGCUUUUUAAGUCCGACGGUGAAAUGCCGGGGCUCAACCCCGUGCCCGCCGCGGAUACUGGGAAGCUGGAGACGAGUAGAGGCAAGCGGAAUUCCGGGUGUAGCGGUGGAAUGCGUAGAGAUCCGGAAGAACACCGGAGGCGAAGGCGGCUUGCUGGGCUCGGUCUGACGCUGAGGCGCGAAAGCGUGGGGAGCGAACGGG
rnacentral:rRNA from 1 species